GUUUGUUGUUGGGCAUAAAUGAUGUAUAAGUUCGUGCAGUGUGCUCAUUUGCUGACCAGGUGGAUUCAGGAAGGCUUCCCAAGUGACCCGCCUCAGCUAACAUUGGAGAAAAAACAAUGCUCUGUCUACUUGUUCCGACCAAAUUUCCCAACCAAAAUACCCAGUUAACUAAUUUUUACUAUAAUGGGUUUCAUCGUGAUGGGAAGAAAAGACUAUUAUUCACUAGGAUGUUCAUCUCAGUGGUACUCAGUUUCAUUGAUUCAUAUUCACUUAUCAAAAACAUUAGAAAUAAAAAAUUGCAGUUUAGUUGUUCGUCAAAAUAUUCCAACCAAACAAAAUAUAUUUCUAAGUUUCUAUCGCAAACAAUUUUGGCUCAGUUUUGAAUUCUUAUCACUAUGAGGUAUCACCAGAGUUCAGUAAGCAGUGGAAACACCGAAUCUCACUCUGGGUAUCAAUUCAUUUUUCAUCCCGGCACUAGUUUUUGGAUUUCUUCAUGGAUAUGAUAUCCUUGUCGUUUUGAUUUCAAUGCUAGUGUAGUUUACAGCAUGGUUGAUGUGAAAUGAGGGAUGGUUGUUCAGUGCUCCAUCCAAUCAGUUUAAGAGGUUCUUGGUAAAUGUCAACUUCGGGAAACAGUGCAAGAGAAAGAAAAGGGUUUAGAUAGUUCAGUUCAACAAGAUGGUGUAAACUGGAGUAUGGGACAAUGCCAAUUAUUUUGUCUGGGGAGAGCUCUACUGAGGAGGAGCAAGAUAUUGGUGCUUGAUGAAGCUACUGCUUUAAUUGACAAUGCAACAGACUACAUUCUACAGAAAACCAUAAGGACAGAAUUCGGAAAAUGUACUGUUAUCACCGUGGCUCACAGAAUACCUACUGUUAUGGACAGUACAAUGGUGCUCGGUAUAGGUGAUGGGAAGAUUGUGGAGUACGAUGAACCAAUGAAGUUUUUUUUUUUUCGGUUUUUACACAAAUGAACCAAUGAAGUUGAUCAAAGGAGAAGGAUCGUUGUUUGGGCAACUGGUGAAGGAAUACUGGUCUCACAGCCACUCUGCAUAUUCAUGAUAAAUUGGGUAAUUACAGCAUAACACCUUGUUUUGGAUCUGAAUCUGACUCUGUGUCUGACUCGGCCCAAGUCGGAUUGUUUGCUUUUUCAUUUUUCUAUUGUCUGAUUCGAGGUCUGACUCAAAUGUAUUCAGUCAGAUUCAGAAGAGAGUCGGUUGAGUUGGAAAAAAAACAAACAACCUGUAAGUAUGUGUGUGUUACACAAUGUUGGCUGUUGUUUACCAUUGUGUAUGAUCUGUGCUCAUCCUAGAGCAGAUUAAUGAAUCUUAUAGAUCAUAAAGGCUUUGUUCAAUUUGUGGAAAUUCAUCAUUUUACUUUACUGAUGAUCAUAUCCGAUACACAUAAGGAUUUCUACCUGCAUUCUUGCUACUGCUGUACAAUGGGGGAAAAACCCAUGAAUCACAUUCAUAUAUAUCUGAGCCCGGUGGUUUUGAUCCCAGUGCUAGUGUGAUGUGAAUUCCCUGGUUGGUGAUUGAUGGAUAGUUGUUCAGUGCUCCAGCCCAUAAGUUUAAGAGACCCGCGGAGUGUAUCGAUCGGUGCUUCUGGUUUCAGUUUGAACUGUUGAUAUGUGUUUCCAAGUUGGAGAAAUCAGAACACACAGGGCUAACAUUCAUAUGUAGCUGAGGUAUGUUGAUUCCUA